rnacentral:rRNA from 2 species
AAAUUGAAGAGUUUGAUCAUGGCUCAGAUUGAACGCUGGCGGCAGGCCUAACACAUGCAAGUCGAACGGUAACAGGAAGCAGCUUGCUGCUUCGCUGACGAGUGGCGGACGGGUGAGUAAUGUCUGGGAAACUGCCUGAUGGAGGGGGAUAACUACUGGAAACGGUGGCUAAUACCGCAUAACGUCGCAAGACCAAAGAGGGGGACCUUCGGGCCUCUUGCCAUCAGAUGUGCCCAGAUGGGAUUAGCUUGUUGGUGAGGUAACGGCUCACCAAGGCGACGAUCCCUAGCUGGUCUGAGAGGAUGACCAGCCACACUGGAACUGAGACACGGUCCAGACUCCUACGGGAGGCAGCAGUGGGGAAUAUUGCACAAUGGGCGCAAGCCUGAUGCAGCCAUGCCGCGUGUAUGAAGAAGGCCUUCGGGUUGUAAAGUACUUUCAGCGGGGAGGAAGGUGUUGCGGUUAAUAACCGCAGCAAUUGACGUUACCCGCAGAAGAAGCACCGGCUAACUCCGUGCCAGCAGCCGCGGUAAUACGGAGGGUGCAAGCGUUAAUCGGAAUUACUGGGCGUAAAGCGCACGCAGGCGGUCUGUCAAGUCGGAUGUGAAAUCCCCGGGCUCAACCUGGGAACUGCAU